UGUGGCUCAAGGGGUAGAGCACUUGCCUAGCAAGCAGGAGAACAUGAGUUCAAAUCGCAGCA
rnacentral:tRNA from 1 species